GAAAAGUGCGGGGAUGAGGUGUGGGUAGCGGAGAAAUUCCAAUCGAACUCGGAGAUAGCUGGUUCUCCCCGAAAUAGCUUUAGGGCUAGCCUCGGAUGCCUGUACUGGAGGUAGAGCACUGAUUGGAUGCGGGCCCCUCGCGGGGUACCAAAUUCAGUCAAACUCCGAAUGCCAGAUACAGACGGUCCGGGAGUCAGACUGCGAGUGCUAAGAUCCGUAGUCAAAAGGGA
rnacentral:rRNA from 1 species